rnacentral:rRNA from 1 species
UACGGAGGGUGCAAGCGUUGCUCGGAAUUACUGGGCGUAAAGGGCGUGUAGGCGGUUUCGUAUGUCUGGCGUGAAAGCCCCGGGCUCAACCCGGGAAGUGCGUUGGAAACUGCGAAACUAGAGUCUCGGAGAGGAAGGUGGAAUUCCAGGUGUAGCGGUGAAAUGCGUAGAUAUCUGGAAGAACACCGGUGGCGAAGGCGGCCUUCUGGACGAUGACUGACGCUGAGACGCGAAAGCGUGGGGAGCAAACAGG